rnacentral:rRNA from 1 species
UACGGGGGGGGCAAGCGUUGUUCGGAAUUACUGGGCGUAAAGGGCUCGUAGGUGGCCAACUAAGUCAGACGUGAAAUCCCUCAGCUUAACUGGGGAACUGCGUCUGAUACUGGAUGGCUUGAGUUUAGGAGAGGGAAGCGGAAUUCCCGGUGUAGUGGUGAAAUGCGUAGAUAUCGGGAGGAACACCAGUGGCGAAGGCGGCUUCCUGGCCUGUUCUUGACGCUGAGGCGCGAAAGCUAGGGGAGCAAACGGG